UACGGGGGGGGCAAGCGUUGUUCGGAAUUACUGGGCGUAAAGGGCGCGUAGGCGGCCUGCUAAGUCGGACGUGAAAUCCCUCGGCUCAACCGGGGAACUGCGUCCGAUACUGGUGGGCUUGAAUCCGGGAGAGGGAUGUGGAAUUCCAGGUGUAGCGGUGAAAUGCGUAGAUAUCUGGAGGAACACCGGUGGCGAAGGCGGCAUCCUGGACCGGUAUUGACGCUGAGACGCGAAAGCGUGGGGAGCAAACAGG
rnacentral:rRNA from 1 species